UUGACUCUAAUAUAUUAUGUGAACAACAGGUGGUGCAAACGGGAAUUUUGGCUUGGAUAGUUCAUGAAUUCGGCGCUUGGCGAUAUUUUGCUGUUCCUUAGAGGCGAAAACAAUGGAGACAAGUGAUGAGCUUGGGCGACCACCAACGAAUUCCCGUCCAUGACAUGAAGCGGAUGAUGACUGAGAGACCGAACAAUAAUUUUAAACGAUUAACCUAACAGUGGCAGCAACCUAAAGGCGAAAUUAAAAGAAAAUCAAAUUGAAAAUGUUUUGAAAAAAGAAAUUAAAGAUGAUGACAAG